CUUGGCGGCCAUAGCGCGGUGGUCCCACCUGAUCCCAUGCCGAACUCAGAAGUGAAAC
rnacentral:rRNA from 1 species